UUAGAUAAGUUCCAUUCACCUGUUGGGUUCCGAUUUCAUGCUAACAUACUAAAAACCCAUAUGAUUCAGGCUUUCUAUAAAAAAAACCAAAAUGUAAAGAAGUGAUCCAAAUCUGAGAAUUCCAUGAGUCAGGUUCAGGUUCCAUUUAUGAUUUUAUUACACUCCAAGAUGCUCAUGUGCGAGAAAUGACAGUAUUGCAUGAGAAAAACUGAAACAUUAGACUAUACCUAAAUCAUUCACAAGCAGAUAUAAAGAAACGAUUAAGGGGGAGAUAAAAUUAAACAAAACUACUGAACUUACAAUACGAGUAAACCAAACUAGUAAGUGUCCCAUUAUACAUGUUAGGCUAGCAUGAGAAUUCUUGAAUCGACCAUAGUCAACUAAAAUCUUAAUUCCAACCUUAGAACAAACAGAUAAUACAAGCAACCCCUAGUAAGCUAUACUAGAUUGGACACUAAACCAAAAGUACUGUAAGAUCACAUUGCUAAGAAAUAACAAGGAAAUAGAAUUUGUCAACGUUCUUCAACUUGAAUUAAACAACUCAAACCAUAGCUUAGCUAAAACUUCAUUUCCAUUCAUGGUGUGAAGAGAGUACCUGGGUACAUCAGUCAAAAUAGAAGGAACAGAAGUGAUUAAGGAUCAGAACUUCAGCCUAUAGCAGCAGUAUUGCAACAAACAAUGAAACAGUGCACAAGAAACUUCAGAUUUUCGACUCAAAUCCGCACUUUGGAAGUGCCAGAUUAGAAUUACUCUAUUGAGCCUCGCAAUUCUGAUUCAUCACAUUCAUUUAGAACUACAACGAAAACCAAUCAAACUCCACACAAUUCUUAGCCUUUUUACUUUGAAAGAAUACUCAGCCGUUUCUAUUUUUAGGAUUUUCAGAGUGUUCUCUUAUGCCCUCUACGAUGAAUAGAAAGACUGCUUAUAUAGGCAGCCCUAGUACAGCUAGCCAAUUCCCUAUUUACUCCUUCAUCCUUAGUUAUUUUUUACCCUUUUCAAAAAUAUCUGAAACCUUUAGUUCUUAUCCUAUCCUUUAGAACCUUCUAUCCGAACAGAAAUUGAUUCCCUCAUCCCUUAAAUCCCUAAAUUGACCUUAGACCACCUGGUUAUUACAAUUCAUGCCCUCCCUUUGAGACCCCUCUAAGUUUCUAUACUUAAAACUGAAACCCCUAUGGAUCCCUGAAGACUGACAAAAAAAACCAUUCAAAACAAAGGCCCUUAAUCAGAUCAAAACAAACUUUGAACAACUUAAAAGUUGGAAAAUAAACUUGUCAUGAACCAAUUAUAGUGAGAACUUCACAGAAUUGUUUAAGCCAAAUAAGACAUGCUGAAGCAUUUUAACAGAAGAAAUAUCCGCAAAACCAAUUUCAAUUAAAUAAACAUGAUUUUAAACACCUAAUUUAACUGAGAAGAAUGUCUGAAAUCUCAAUAACUGAAAUCCAAGGAUAGAAACAAUCAAAAUAAGAGAAACACAGAAAGGAACUAAACUACAUUAAGCCGGGUUUUGCAGAGCAAAGGUGAACUUAAACAUGAAAGAGGAAAGGAAAAAGAACACAAAUCUCAUAACCAUAAGGGCACAAAGCUAUACCUGAGAACAGUAUUAAGGGAAAAAUCUCGCUGAAUUGAAACCAAUGGCCGGGACUAUCUCGAAAUGUUCGAAUAUUGAGAAUAAUCAGUUGUUCUUGACAAGAACAACUAAUCAGCCUUUAUUUCCAGCUAAUUCGAAGCAUGAAAACCACUAGAAAACUUGUUGCGAAUUUGUGACUUGGGGAAAAUUGACCAUGAAAUCACAAUGAAGGAAGGUCAAAGACGAUGGAACUUGAUUUUUGAGUGAUUUGGGGAAAUUAGGAUUUGGAUCUUAUUUUUCGAUCCAACAUUCGAACCAAGCUAGAGAGAUUAUAGGUACAUGGGUUAGGGAUUUGGAAAGAGAAAGCAAGGGGGUUUCGGGGUAUAAUUUUGGUGGUGUUUGGAGGUGGCGCCGCCACCCUAAAGCGGUGGGGGAGUGGGGGCGGCUCCUAGGUUUCACGGGGAGUCUCUGAGAGGGGGGAGUGAGAGAGACGAGUUAAAGGAGGGGGUAGAU
rnacentral:lncRNA from 1 species